rnacentral:rRNA from 1 species
AGGACGAACGCUGGCGGCGUGCUUAACACAUGCAAGUCGAACGGAAAGGCCCUUUCGGGGGUGCUCGAGUGGCGAACGGGUGAGUAACACGUGGGUGAUCUGCCCUGCACUUUGGGAUAAGCCUGGGAAACUGGGUCUAAUACCGAAUACACCUUGCUGGCUGCAUGGCUGGUGGGGGAAAGCUUUUGCGGUGUGGGAUGGGCCCGCGGCCUAUCAGCUUGUUGGUGGGGUGAUGGCCUACCAAGGCGACGACGGGUA